CCUACGGGAUGCAGCAGUGGGGAAUCUUGCGCAAUGGGCGAAAGCCUGACGCAGCCACGCCGCGUGCGGGAUGAAGGCCCUAGGGUUGUAAACCGCUUUUAACAGGAACGAAAAUGACGGUACCUGUAGAAUAAGGUGCGGCCAACUACGUGCCAGCAGCCGCGGUGACACGUAGGCACCAAGCGUUGUCCGGAUUUAUUGGGCGUAAAGAGCUCGUAGGCGGUUCAGUAAGUCGGGUGUGAAAACUCUGGGCUUAACCCAGAGACGCCACUCGAUACUAUUGUGACUAGAGUUCGGUAGGGGAGCGGGGAAUUCCUAGUGUAGCGGUGAAAUGCGCAGAUAUUAGGAGGAACACCGGUGGCGAAGGCGCCGCUCUGGGCCGAUACUGACGCUGAGGAGCGAAAGCGUGGGUAGCAAACAGGAUUAGAUACCCUGGUAGUCCACGCCGUAAACGGUGGGCACUAGGUGUGGGUUCCAACCAACGGAAUCCGCGCCGUCGCUAACGCAUUAAGUGCCCCGCCUGGGGAGUACGGCCGCAAGGUUAAAACUCAAAGGAAUUGACGG
rnacentral:rRNA from 1 species